CGCAUUAGUAAUUCAACUUAGUACGAGAGGAACCGUUGAUUCAGAUAAUUGGUAUUUGCAUCUGUCCGAUCGGGCAAUGGUGCGAAGCUAUCAUCUGCUGGAUAAUGGCUGAACGCCUCUAAGCCAGAAUCCGUGCUAGAAGCGAUAACGUUGGUCCCGCACAUGCCUAGUGUUGGAAUAGAGCUUUGCUCGUACACCAUACAAGCCGCGUGCAGCCGGAAGGGGUAGCGUGGUUGAUUGCAAUGUAAACAUGCGCGGGGGGAAAUCCUUUGCAGACGACUUGAAUGGGAACGGGGUGCUGUAAGCAGU
rnacentral:rRNA from 1 species